GACGAACGCUGGCGGCGUGCUUAACACAUGCAAGUCGAACGGAGUGGCGAGCGGGUGAGUAACACGUGGGUGACCUUCCCUGCACUUCGGGAUAAGCCUGGGAAACUGGGUCUAAUACCGGCUAGUGUGGGAUGGGCCCGGGGCCUAUCAGCUUGUUGGGGGGGUAAUGGCCUACGAAGGCGGCGACGGGUAGCCGGCCUGAGAGGGGGGACGGCCACAUGGCGCCUGCGGCACGGAGCAGAGGGCUACAGGGGGCAGUAGGCGGGAGUAUGGCACAAUGGGCGGACGUGUGAUGAAGCGGUGCUGCGUGGGGGAUGACGGCUUUCGGGUUGUAAACUCCUUUCACCAUCGACGCGGUAGAUGGAGAAGAAGCACCGGCUAACUACGUGCCAGCAGCCGCGGUAAUUC
rnacentral:rRNA from 1 species